rnacentral:RNase_P_RNA from 2 species
AAAGUUUGACAGACAAUCGCUGGCGGCCUUGUUGCCGCGAGAGGAAAGUCCGGGCUCCGUAGGGCGAAGAUGCUGGAUAACGUCCAGUCGGCGCGAGCCGAAGGAUAGUGCCACAGAAAUGGACCGCCGAUGGCUGCGAUAACGACGCGGCACAGGCAAGGGUGGAACCGUGGUGUAAGAGACCACGAGGACCGUUGGCGACAACGGUGCUGGUAAACCCCAUCUGGAGCAAGACCGAGAGAACGCGGCAGCCUCGCGCUGCAACCCUUGCCCGGGGAGCGUUCGGGUUGGUCGCUUGAGCCGGUCAGCAAUGGCCGGCCUAGAUAGAUGAUUGUCGCUUCAUAAGUGGGAGGGUAGUUCCCGUUUGACCACGCGAAGCACAGAACCCGGCUUACGGCAAGCUUUCCAU